AGUGAACGCUGGCGGUAGGCCUAACACAUGCAAGUCGAACGGCAGCACAGUAAGAGCUUGCUCUUACGGGUGGCGAGUGGCGGACGGGUGAGGAAUACAUCGGAAUCUACUUUUUCGUGGGGGAUAACGUAGGGAAACUUACGCUAAUACCGCAUACGACCUACGGGUGAAAGCAGGGGAUCUUCGGACCUUGCGCGAUUGAAUGAGCCGAUGUCGGAUUAGCUAGUUGGCGGGGUAAAGGCCCACCAAGGCGACGAUCCGUAGCUGGUCUGAGAGGAUGAUCAGCCACACUGGAACUGAGACACGGUGCAGACUCCUACGGGAGGCAGCAGUGGGGAAUAUUGGACAAUGGGCGGAAGCCUGAUCCAGCCAUACCGCGUGGGUGAAGAAGGCCUUCGGGUUGUAAAGCCCUUUUGUUGGGAAAGAAAAGCAGCAGGUUAAUACCCCGCUGUUCUGACGGUACCCAAAGAAUAAGCACCGGCUAACUUCGUG
rnacentral:rRNA from 1 species